rnacentral:sRNA from 1 species
UAUAUAUACUAUAAUAUAUGCAUUUAUUACUUUGAUAAUUUGUUUGAUAUAGCAUCAUGUUUAAGCAACUUUGUUAUGCAACAGAAUGUUUAUGCCAUAAAUCUUGCAAAGUAUGAAUUACCUAAAUCUUGACAAAGGUAAACAAAAAUUUAUCUUUGAUAGGUGUCAAUCAGUAAUGUUAGUUUUGGUGCAGUUGCAACCUGUUGAUUUUUUUUUCUUAAACUGAGACCAUAUAUUGUACACUUGACUUUCUAUUCUUUGUUUUAUAAUAGUGAAUAAUCUAUAUGGGAAUAUCAGUUGAUAUUCUUUCCUGGCAAAAGCUGUAUAUUUUAAAUUACUGAUUCCAGUCUCUUUGUCUUUUUAACUUAGAAGAGGAAUCUCUUGUUGGCAUUUGAAGCAGCUGAAAGUGUAGGCAUCAAACCCAGCCUGGAACUCAGCGAGAUGCUGUACACGGACCGGCCCGACUGGCAGAGCGUGAUGCAGUACGUGGCCCAAAUCUACAAGUACUUUGAGACGUAACCCUGGAGGGCCUGGGGCAGCCACCAUUGCCACCUACUGCAGCUUUUCCUGGAAGCGCCUGAUCACUGUCCACUGACCCUGCUCUGCCCACCACCCAGCUGCCUAGACUUCAAAGACAGGCUCAAUCCAAGUGGACCAAUACCCAAAUAAGAAACAGAGUGGGUCCCACCAUGUACCUGUCUCAAAUGCAAACGCAGCUGGACUGUAAAUUGGGGACUCUUUGAUCUCUUGUGGGAUGCUUCUAAAGAGGGCAGCCUCCCUCCUUCCAGACCAAGACCCCACACCCAGGCUUGUUUUGCUGAUUACAUUUGGGUGGCUGAACACAUCAUCUACAAAAAUUCAGACAAAGAGCAUCUCCAAAUCAGUCUUUUGGUUGCUGUUGUUAAAAAUAUCCAGGCUUUGCCUUUAUGAAACCUUUGACCUUGGCUGGGUGUGGUAGCUCGUGGCUGUAAUCCCAGCACUUUAGGAAGCCAAGGCAGUAGGAUCGUUUGAGCCCAGGAGUUCCAGGCUGCAGUGAGCUAUGAGCGUACCACUGCACUCCAGCCUGUGUGAAGGAGCCAGACCCUGUCUCAAAAAAACGAUAAAACCCAAAACUUUGCCCUUGUGAACCCUCCCUUCCCCCUUCCCCCCCCCCCCAAAAAAAAAACACAAAAAAUAAACAUU